rnacentral:rRNA from 1 species
GAUGAACGCUGGCGGCGUGCCUAAUACAUGCAAGUCGAGCGAACAGACGAGGAGCUUGCUCCUCUGACGUUAGCGGCGGACGGGUGAGUAACACGUGGAUAACCUACCUAUAAGACUGGGAUAACUUCGGGAAACCGGAGCUAAUACCGGAUAAAAUAUUGAACCGCAUGGUUCAAUAGUGAAAGACGGUUUUGCUGUCACUUAUAGAUGGAUCCGUGCCGCAUUAGCUAGUUGGUAAGGUAACGGCUUACCAAGGCGACGAUGCGUAGCCGACCUGAGAGGGUGAACGGCCACACUGGAACUGAGCCACGGUCCAGACUCCUACGGGAGGCAGCAGUAGGGAAUCUUCCGCAAUGGGCGAAAGCCUGACGGAGCAACGCCGCGUGAGUGAUGAAGGUCUUCGGAUCGUAAAACUCUGUUAUUAGGGAAGAACAAAUGUGUAAGUAACUAUGCACGUCUUAACGGUACCUAAUCAGAAAGCCACGGCUAACUACGUG